GCACCAGUGGUGGAAUGGUAGACACGCACGCUUGAGGGGCGUGUGGAGAAAUCCGUGAAAGUUCAAGUCUUUUCUGGUGCACCA
rnacentral:tRNA from 1 species